CAAAGUGCUGGGAUUACAGGUGUGAGACACCACACCCGGCGGAUAGAGAGAAUUUUGACAGGUACCAGAGAUAUAAUAAUGAGAAACAGACAUGCUCCCUCCCCUCAUUGAGGUUACAGCUUAGUGUGGAGACACACAGAUGCCUAACGCACUAUGGUAUGGAAGGUGCUAUGGACACAGUGCUCAAAUCCAUGAUCUACAUAGGUGGAGAACUUCAGUAGAGGAAGUGGCAGGAAUUUGGGAAUGAGGAGCACAGUGAUUAAACUGGGGCCAUUCAUAUGAGAGUUUAAGAACUCAGACCAGUGACUUAGAUUGGCUUCUCUCACAUGGCAAGAAACAUUGCUGCUAGCACUUCCCGAGUUCUACGUUCUACAACAUCCACCACUGCUAUGUCUCACAGUCCAGACUUGGAGUACAAGUAAUAAGAAGAAUAAAACUUAAUCCCUUAAGUAGAUUCACCAUAAGUUAGCUCAGAGCAAUUCCAGUGCAAGUAUGGUCUGUGAUCCAGUAGUAUCUUACAGACAGCAAGUUGAACAUUGUGGGAUGCAUGAGCUAUUGAGGCCUUUGCAGCUUUCUGCUACAUGGAGGCUAGGGCCAGAGUCAAGAUUUAUGCUUUGCAGCACACUGGUCAGCUGUUUUUGCAAAUCAGAUUAAAUGAUUUUUAAAUGAGGCUGAGAGCAUGGGAGAUACUAAUGUGUGUUUCCUUGUGAGCUACUGCAUAAGUUAGGAAAUUGAAAUACAGAAAGAUGAAAAGUGAUUUGCCCAAGCAUAUAGAUCAAAGCUGUGGCAGAACCAGGACUGGAACCUAUAUCUCUCUACUAAUGGUUUUUUUAAAAAAAUAACCUUGUUUCAAAAAUAUUAAAAAGUCACAAGAAAGGUAAACAUGUGGAUAAACAAAAUGAAGAAAAUAAAAAUUAUCCAGUAAUAAC
rnacentral:lncRNA from 1 species